AGCUUUGCACAGUGGCAAUAUCGUAGCCAAUGAGGCUUAUCCAAGGUGCGAUUAUUGCUAAUUGAAAACUUUUCCCAAGAUGACAUAUCCAGGAGCCAAGUUCUAGGUACUGAAAACAUUUACUUCAUUUCAA
ensembl:snRNA U4 U4 spliceosomal RNA